GAUGCAAUUGCAUGAGUUCUCCAGUAGGGCGCGCUCAACAUGAUUCCAGUAACAGGAAAUUGCACGUGAGCACCCCGUUUCGAGGGGGUCACCUUGAACCGUAACACUGGAAAGACGUUAGAGAGGUAUUAAGCACAACAGAGAAUCUCCCGGAUCUGAUCAUUGAAAAUACAGGAAACUACCGUGAAUUAUAUUGUUCACUUGAAUCUCCGGUUGGUUUUUUAUGUUUGAUCGAAGGAAGAUUGCAUCUACGAUGGCGAGCUUUGCCCAAUAGAACUGUGGAUGGUGUGGAUACGGCGUGGCCAGCCGUGAACACCACCAUAGAAGACCCUUGUGAAGAUCCAUUCAUAACAGAUAAGACAUAGAACU